rnacentral:pre_miRNA from 1 species
CUACUACUCCCUCCGUUGGAAAAUACUUGUCAUUGAAAUGGAUGUAUCUAGAUGUAUUUUAGUUCUAGACACAUCCAUUUUGAUGACAAGUAAUUCCGGAUGGAGGGAGUAUUAU